ACUAAGCGUACACGGUGGAUGCCCUGGCAGUCAGAGGCGAUGAAGGACGUGCUAAUCUGCGAUAAGCGUCGGUAAGGUGAUAUGAACCGUUAUAACCGGCGAUUUCCGAAUGGGGAAACCCAGUGUGUUUCGACACACUAUCAUUAACUGAAUCCAUAGGUUAAUGAGGCGAACCGGGGGAACUGAAACAUCUAAGUACCCCGAGGAAAAGAAAUCAACCGAGAUUCCCCCAGUAGCGGCGAGCGAACGGGGAGCAGCCCAGAGCCUGAAUCAGUGUGUGUGUUAGUGGAAGCGUCUGGAAAGGCGCGCGAUACAGGGUGACAGCCCCGUACACAAAAAUGCACAUGCUGUGAGCUCGAUGAGUAGGGCGGGACACGUGGUAUCCUGUCUGAAUAUGGGGGGACCAUCCUCCAAGGCUAAAUACUCCUGACUGACCGAUAGUGAACCAGUACCGUGAGGGAAAGGCGAAAAGAACCCCGGCGAGGGGAGUGAAAAAGAACCUGAAACCGUGUACGUACAAGCAGUGGGAGCACGCUUAGGCGUGUGACUGCGUACCUUUUGUAUAAUGGGUCAGCGACUUAUAUUCUGUAGCAAGGUUAACCGAAUAGGGGAGCCGAAGGGAAACCGAGUCUUAACUGGGCGUUAAGUUGCAGGGUAUAGACCCGAAACCCGGUGAUCUAGCCAUGGGCAGGUUGAAGGUUGGGUAACACUAACUGGAGGACCGAACCGACUAAUGUUGAAAAAUUAGCGGAUGACUUGUGGCUGGGGGUGAAAGGCCAAUCAAACCGGGAGAUAGCUGGUUCUCCCCGAAAGCUAUUUAGGUAGCGCCUCGUGAAUUCAUCUCCGGGGGUAGAGCACUGUUUCGGCAAGGGGGUCAUCCCGACUUACCAACCCGAUGCAAACUGCGAAUACCGGAGAAUGUUAUCACGGGAGACACACGGCGGGUGCUAACGUCCGUCGUGAAGAGGGAAACAACCCAGACCGCCAGCUAAGGUCCCAAAGUCAUGGUUAAGUGGGAAACGAUGUGGGAAGGCCCAGACAGCCAGGAUGUUGGCUUAGAAGCAGCCAUCAUUUAAAGAAAGCGUAAUAGCUCACUGGUCGAGUCGGCCUGCGCGGAAGAUGUAACGGGGCUAAACCAUGCACCGAAGCUGCGGCAGCGACGCUUAUGCGUUGUUGGGUAGGGGAGCGUUCUGUAAGCCUGUGAAGGUGUGCUGUGAGGCAUGCUGGAGGUAUCAGAAGUGCGAAUGCUGACAUAAGUAACGAUAAAGCGGGUGAAAAGCCCGCUCGCCGGAAGACCAAGGGUUCCUGUCCAACGUUAAUCGGGGCAGGGUGAGUCGACCCCUAAGGCGAGGCCGAAAGGCGUAGUCGAUGGGAAACAGGUUAAUAUUCCUGUACUUGGUGUUACUGCGAAGGGGGGACGGAGAAGGCUAUGUUGGCCGGGCGACGGUUGUCCCGGUUUAAGCGUGUAGGCUGGUUUUCCAGGCAAAUCCGGAAAAUCAAGGCUGAGGCGUGAUGACGAGGCACUACGGUGCUGAAGCAACAAAUGCCCUGCUUCCAGGAAAAGCCUCUAAGCAUCAGGUAACAUCAAAUCGUACCCCAAACCGACACAGGUGGUCAGGUAGAGAAUACCAAGGCGCUUGAGAGAACUCGGGUGAAGGAACUAGGCAAAAUGGUGCCGUAACUUCGGGAGAAGGCACGCUGAUAUGUAGGUGAAGCGACUUGCUCGUGGAGCUGAAAUCAGUCGAAGAUACCAGCUGGCUGCAACUGUUUAUUAAAAACACAGCACUGUGCAAACACGAAAGUGGACGUAUACGGUGUGACGCCUGCCCGGUGCCGGAAGGUUAAUUGAUGGGGUCAGCGCAAGCGAAGCUCUUGAUCGAAGCCCCGGUAAACGGCGGCCGUAACUAUAACGGUCCUAAGGUAGCGAAAUUCCUUGUCGGGUAAGUUCCGACCUGCACGAAUGGCGUAAUGAUGGCCAGGCUGUCUCCACCCGAGACUCAGUGAAAUUGAACUCGCUGUGAAGAUGCAGUGUACCCGCGGCAAGACGGAAAGACCCCGUGAACCUUUACUAUAGCUUGACACUGAACAUUGAGCCUUGAUGUGUAGGAUAGGUGGGAGGCUUGGAAGUGUGGACGCCAGUCUGCAUGGAGCCGACCUUGAAAUACCACCCUUUAAUGUUUGAUGUUCUAACGUUGACCCGUAAUCCGGGUUGCGGACAGUGUCUGGUGGGUAGUUUGACUGGGGCGGUCUCCUCCUAAAGAGUAACGGAGGAGCACGAAGGUUGGCUAAUCCUGGUCGGACAUCAGGAGGUUAGUGCAAUGGCAUAAGCCAGCUUGACUGCGAGCGUGACGGCGCGAGCAGGUGCGAAAGCAGGUCAUAGUGAUCCGGUGGUUCUGAAUGGAAGGGCCAUCGCUCAACGGAUAAAAGGUACUCCGGGGAUAACAGGCUGAUACCGCCCAAGAGUUCAUAUCGACGGCGGUGUUUGGCACCUCGAUGUCGGCUCAUCACAUCCUGGGGCUGAAGUAGGUCCCAAGGGUAUGGCUGUUCGCCAUUUAAAGUGGUACGCGAGCUGGGUUUAGAACGUCGUGAGACAGUUCGGUCCCUAUCUGCCGUGGGCGCUGGAGAACUGAGGGGGGCUGCUCCUAGUACGAGAGGACCGGAGUGGACGCAUCACUGGUGUUCGGGUUGUCAUGCCAAUGGCACUGCCCGGUAGCUAAAUGCGGAAGAGAUAAGUGCUGAAAGCAUCUAAGCACGAAACUUGCCCCGAGAUGAGUUCUCCCUGACCCUUUAAGGGUCCUGAAGGAACGUUGAAGACGACGACGUUGAUAGGCCGGGUGUGUAAGCGCAGCGAUGCGUUGAGCUAACCGGUACUAAUGAACCGUGAGGCUUAACC
rnacentral:rRNA from 1 species